GAUGAACGCUGGCGGCGUGCCUAAUACAUGCAAGUCGAGCGAACGGACGAGAAGCUUGCUUCUCUGAUGUUAGCGGCGGACGGGUGAGUAACACGUGGAUAACCUACCUAUAAGACUGGGAUAACUUCGGGAAACCGUAGCUAAUACCGGAUAAUAUUUUGAACCGCAUGGUUCAAAAGUGAAAGACGGUCUUGCUGUCACUUAUAGAUGGAUCCGCGCUGCAUUAGCUAGUUGGUAAGGUAACGGCUUACCAAGGCAACGAUGCAUAGCCGACCUGUGAGGGAGAUCGUGUGCGCUUAAACUGAGGCAGCGGCCAGAAUCCUAAGGGAGGCCGCAGUAGGGAAUACUCCGCGAUGGGCGAUAGGCUGACGGAGCAACGCUGCGUGAAUGUUUCAGGCCUUCGUAUCGUAAAACUAUGCUAUCAGUGAAGAACAUAUGCGUAAGUAACUGUGCACAACUUGACGGUACCUAAUCAGAAAGCCACGGCUAACUACGUG
rnacentral:rRNA from 1 species